GGGAGAAGCAAAGCAGGAUUGGCUUAGCUGCUAGUGUAGCCAUUCUAAAUUUAUUCUGGAACUUCUAUUCAGCCACAUCACACUGUUGACUCAUAUUCAGCUUGUGAUCAACAACAAUUGCUUCAUCCUCUUAUUUCCAUAAAGGACACAACAUCAUCAUUUAUGAGCUUCACGAGAUGUUUCAAGGGCAUUGAUGGGAUGUGAAGAGAAAAAACAGAUUUGUCAUAAUCAUACUCUGAUUGGGCCCUGUACUCAUUUCUGGGUCAAGCCUUCCCAAUCUACGAAGAGACCACUGCAACAAGACCAUAUGGAACUCACCCACCC